UAAUACGGAGGGUGCGAGCGUUAAUCGGAAUUACUGGGCGUAAAGCGUGCGUAGGCGGUUUGAUAAGUCGGGUGUGAAAGCCCCGGGCUUAACCUGGGAAUUGCAUUCGAUACUGUCUGACUCGAGUCUGGGAGAGGGAAGCGGAAUUCCGGGUGUAGCGGUGAAAUGCGUAGAUAUCCGGAGGAACAUCAGUGGCGAAGGCGGCUUCCUGGCCUAAGACUGACGCUGAGGUACGAAAGCGUGGGGAGCAAACAGGAUUAGAUACCCUGGUAGUCCACGCUGUAAACGAUGAGAACUAGCCGUUGGGAAGGUUUAACUUUUUAGUGGCGCAGCUAACGCGAUAAGUUCUCCGCCUGGGGAGUACGGCCGCAAGGUUG
rnacentral:rRNA from 1 species